rnacentral:lncRNA from 1 species
UUCUCUACUUUCUUCCUCCGUUGGUAUCGCCAUUGUUGGAUUAUAGACUCAAGAAUGAGAAGAAAGAAAGAUCUUCUCUUUCUAUAUAGUUGGUUUGGCUCUUUUAGUUAAUGGUGUUGGCUCAGGGCAUUACACAGAAGAAGAUAAGGUAGAGACUCAUCUUACUAUCUCCGUCUAUCACCACUCUAUGGAGGCGUGCAGGGAUUAGCUUGUAGCAAGGAGCUAGCUACAAAAGAGAGGCUAGAGAGAGAGAGAGAGAGAGGGAAGAAAAGCUGGGGAAGUGGGAAGGAGAGUGAAAAGGAGAUUGAUUUAUGAAGAGAAGGGCGAGUUGGUUUUCACGUUUGUCUUUUUUCACUCGCGCAAUCUUUUAUUUUCUGAGAGUAUUAAAUGUGUCGUUUCUUUUUUCUUUUUUCAUAUUUUAUGAAUAUUUUCUUUUUCUGUGUUUUCCACUUUACCUACUUUUACUCAGUGGAGUAGAGAUCGAGAAACCAAAGUGCAGUAAAAUCUGUCGGCAACUUAACUAAAUCCUACAACCUUUUUUGCCGAUUGUCAACAACUUAUAAGGAUAGACAUUGACCAAAUAAAUUAAACUGUAGUGCGAUGAUUAGCUGCUGUGAACAAAAGCCAACUCCAGCUUCUUUGACUGAAGAUGAAAGAGGGAGUUUAAGGUAGCGAGAUAAUUAGCAAGCUGGCUUAACUUUUUUUCCAUAUAAAAAACAUCCAAAAUUCUCAAUGAGUUUCAGUGACCAUAGCAACCAUUAUGCUACAAUUUGCAAAGGCCGGGAACAGCAAAGAGGAGAUAGAAAAAAAUAAAAAUAAAAUGAGACAAAAAUUCGUCAACAAAUUAUAGAAAUAGCAUUAUACAUAAUGACCACUUUUCAUCAAUUCUCAACGCCAGAGUUUUAGUAUGGAGGCGGCGGGUAUUGUCCUUGAUAGGGACCUGGAUAACGAGAAUAAUAUUAGAGGUCUUAGUAUUAACAAGUAUAUUACUAUAUCCUAUCACAGCAUUUAAACACAAAAGGAAGAACAGUUAUGUACCUUGUGGGUAAUAUGGUGAUGGUUGAGGAGGGUACGGAGGAGGAGGGUAAGUUGAGGAUGGCGGAGGAGGAGGGUAAGCUGAAGGACCAAAUCCAACCCACGGCUUCUUUUCGAUCCGUGGCGAGAUAAACAUCAUCGACACAGCUGAGUCCUUGCUCUUCUUCUUUGGAGAAGAGAGUGACCAGAUCUUGGUCUUCCCAGAACAAAUCUUGCUGCAGAAUAGCCAAUGGAGAAGAAGUAGAAGCAGAAGAAAAGGAAGAGUUCUCUUCAACUGCUUCUACUUCUUCUUCGUCGUCGUCUUCCCAUUUCUCUUCUUCGCAGUAGAGAGCAUCAAGAAGAAACGAAGUGUUAUGUUCUUCUCUACUUUCUUCCUCCGUUGGUAUCGCCAUUGUUGGAUUAUAGACUCAAGAAUGAGAAGAAAGAAAGAUCUUCUCUUUCUAUAUAGUUGGUUUGGCUCUUUUAGUUAAUGGUGUUGGCUCAGGGCAUUACACAGAAGAAGAUAAGGUAGAGACUCAUCUUACUAUCUCCGUCUAUCACCACUCUAUGGAGGCGUGCAGGGAUUAGCUUGUAGCAAGGAGCUAGCUACAAAAGAGAGGCUAGAGAGAGAGAGAGAGAGAGGGAAGAAAAGCUGGGGAAGUGGGAAGGAGAGUGAAAAGGAGAUUGAUUUAUGAAGAGAAGGGCGAGUUGGUUUUCACGUUUGUCUUUUUUCACUCGCGCAAUCUUUUAUUUUCUGAGAGUAUUAAAUGUGUCGUUUCUUUUUUCUUUUUUCAUAUUUUAUGAAUAUUUUCU